CGGGUAGAGGCCAAGUGGAUUGGCAGCCGGCUGUAAACCGGCGGCGUUUACGCAAGUAGGGUUCGAUUCCCACCUGCCCGACCA
rnacentral:tRNA from 1 species